rnacentral:rRNA from 1 species
GACGUAGGGGGACAGCGUUGUUCGGAAUUACUGGGUGUAAAGGGUUCGUAGGCGGUGCGGCAAGUUGGGAGUGAAAUCUCUGGGCUUAACCCAGAGGCUGCUUCCAAAACUGCUGUGCUUGAGUGUGGGAGAGGCGCGUGGAAUUGCAGGUGUAGCGGUGAAAUGCGUAGAUAUCUGCAGGAACACCCGUGGCGAAAGCGGCGCGCUGGACCACUACUGACGCUGAGGAACGAAAGCUAGGGGAGCAAACAGG